GCAUGGAUCGGCAUGGCGUCCAUUAGUAGUUAUAAAUGAACUUCCAGUUAAAAUUUAAAAAACAAACAAACAAAGUCUUGAUUAUAGUUUUUGGCAAAUAUUUUCCAUAUAGACUAAGCUAUCUUCAGUUUUAGAUGACACAGUAGCUGAACAAGAAAAGAAAAGAUUAAUACACUUAAAUGAUGAAUAAAGUCCUGACGACAUACACCUCCUCGAACUUUUUAUUCUUACAAUGGAAAACUGACGACCAUAUCGGUUUGGUCAUAGGAAUGAUAACAACUGUCGUUUUGGGCGUUUUAUUCGAAAGUCUACAUUUAAUCGAAUCAAAACUACAAAAAGAAGAAACGUCAGACAGCAAAAGAACUGUUAAAAUGGCAAAGUGUGCUUUUGUUGGUAAAAGAACAGCUAUUCACAUGACUCGCGUUGUAUUGGGAUACAUUCUGAUGUUAUGUGUAAUGACAAUGAAUGUCUGGAUAAUUGGUUCUGUCGUUUUGGGAUAUGCUAUUGGAUAUUUUUUGUUACGUCCCUGGACAUAUACAAGAAAUUCAACACGUAAUACUAAAUUUAAAAUACCAAAUGGACUAACUGAACAAUCUGAUAAGCUUCUUACAAAGGAGUCAGUUGUUUAAAAUGAUGGCUGAUAAAAUUUCAGUUUUUUUAAACAACUAUAAUGUAAGAGUGUACAAUGGUGUUUUUCUGUUUUGUUUUAUAACGAUUUUAUCUUUGAAAACAUCAGAUAAUUACAUAACCGAUUGUAAAAUCACUGAUUUUAAUGAUAACGGGUGUUACUCCUUAUUUAAAGUGUUCAUGACUAAGGAACAUUGUUUUACGUGAAAUACUAGUUUUCGUGGUUUUCCAUGUAUUUAUAGGAUUCAACAAAGUACAAGGUUUUUUUAUAGGCGUGUGUGCAGAGUUUGUCAAAACAAUGUUAUACAAUCCAUGAAAAUCGAUAUCAAAUUCAAAGGUAUAUAGAAUCAAAGUACUGAACAUCGGAUGACCGCAAGUUCUUGUGGGUGGUCAAAAGCACUUGUCACAGAAAAAAAAAUCACAUCUCUAUACCUGAAACUGAGGUUAAUGUACAGAGAUAUAUUUUUUUCUGAGACAAGUUCGUGCGUGGAUGAUGAAUAAAUGACAUGAAAUUCAACCUCACCGUAAUAACUAUCAUAUUGUAGUGAUACAAAUCAGUAUACACUGGUUUGUUGUUAUAUAUUAUAUUAAUAUAACAGUUACAUGUAUAUAUAAUUUUCAUUCAUUUGUAUAUCAUUCUAUUCUACUAUUCUAAUAAUAGUGCAGUGCAAGUGCAUGGUGGACACUCUUCUGUAAAAAUUCGAUUUUUCUAAAAGAUUGGAUAUGAGGAGGCAUUCAUAUUUUCCCGCAAAAACAAUUACGGAGUUACCGGUCUUUGCCGGGAUUGUCGCUAAACGUUCUUGAGAUAUUCUUCCGCAUGCUUUAACACAAUUUUUAGGUACGUGUGCAUAGAUAUUAUCAAUGAUUUUUUACUUAUAUAUAUAUAUAUCUAACGACAAAACAUUUUCAUAUUAUUAAUUUAUGUUCUAAACAAAAAUAUUUUUAUCAGUAUUCAUUGAAGAGAUGUAUUUAUAACAAAAUUAGUCCAUAUAUUGUAAAUCAUCGUUUAUUAAACUAUAGUACUGUACUGUACUAUCAUA